rnacentral:sRNA from 1 species
UCAUAAUGUUUUAUUGCUCGAGCUUGC